UAGCUAGUUGGUGAGGUAAAGGCUUACCAAGGCGACGAUCUGUAGCGGGUCUGAGAGGAUGAUCCGCCACACUGGAACUGAGACACGGUCCAGACUCCUACGGGAGGCAGCAGUGGGGAAUUUUGGACAAUGGGGGCAACCCUGAUCCAGCCAUGCCGCGUGAGUGAAGAAGGCCUUCGGGUUGUAAAGCUCUUUCGGCCGGGAAGAAAUCGCAUGGGCCAAUACCCUGUGUGGAUGACGGUACCGGAAUAAGAAGCACCGGCUAACUACGUGCCAGCAGCCGCGGUAAUACGUAGGGUGCGAGCGUUAAUCGGAAUUACUGGGCGUAAAGCGUGCGCAGGCGGUUUUGUAAGACAGGCGUGAAAUCCCUGGGCUUAACCUGGGAACUGCGUUUGUGACUGCAAGGCUAGAGUACGGCAGAGGGGGGUGGAAUUCCACGUGUAGCAGUGAAAUGCGUAGAGAUGUGGAGGAACACCAAUGGCGAAGGCAGCCCCCUGGGUCGAUACUGACGCUCAUGCACGAAAGCGUGGGUAGCAAACAGGAUUAGAUACCCUGGUAGUCCACGCCCUAAACUAUGUCAACUAGGUGUUGGGUGGGUAAAACCAUUUAGUACCGUAGCUAACGCGUGAAGUUGACCGCCUGGGGAGUACGGCCGCAAGGUUAAAACUCAAAGGAAUUGACGGGGACCCGCACAAGCGGUGGAUGAUGUGGAUUAAUUCGAUGCAACGCGAAAAACCUUACCUACCCUUGGCAUGCCAGGAACUUGCCAGAGAUGGCUUGGUGCCCGAAAGGGAGCCUGGACACAGGUGCUGCAUGGCUGUCGUCAGCUCGUGUCGUGAGAUGUUGGGUUAAGUCCCGCAACGAGCGCAACCCUUGUCGUUAAUUGCCAUCAUUUGGUUGGGCGCUUUAACGAGACUGCCGGUGACAAACCGGAGGAAGGUGGGGAUGACGUCAAGUCCUCAUGGCCCUUAUGGGUAGGGCUUCACACGUCAUACAAUGGUCGGUACAAAGGGUUGCCAAGCCGCGAGGCGGAGCCAAUCCCAGAAAGCCGAUCGUAGUCCGGAUUGCAGGCUGCAACUCGCCUGCAUGAAGUCGGAAUCGCUAGUAAUCGUGGAUCAGCAUGUCACGGUGAAUACGUUCCCGGGUCUUGUACACACCGCCCGUCACACCAUGGGAGCGGGUUCCGCCAGAAGUAGGUAGCCUAACCGCAAGGAGGGCGCUUACCACGGCGGGGUUCGUGACUGGGGUGAAGUCGGAACAAGGUAGCCGUAGGGGAUCCUGCGGCUG
rnacentral:rRNA from 1 species